GACGUAGGGCGCGAGCGUUGUCCGGAUUUAUUGGGCGUAAAGAGCUCGUAGGCGGCUUGUCGCGUCGAAUGUGAAAACCUGCAGCUCAACUGCGGGCUUGCAUUCGAUACGGGCAGGCUCGAGUUCGGUAGGGGAGACUGGAAUUCCUGGUGUAGCGGUGAAAUGACGCAGAUAUCAGGAGGAACACCGGUGGCGAAGGCGGGUCUCUGGGCCGAUACUGACGCUGAGGAGCGAAAGCGUGGGGAGCGAACAGG
rnacentral:rRNA from 1 species